GUAGUCAUAUGCUUGUCUCAAAGAUUAAGCCAUGCAUGUCUAAGUAUAAACAUCUUUAUACAGUGAAACUGCGUACAGCUCAUUAUAUCAGUUAUUAUUUAUUUGAUGGUACCUUACUACAUGGAUACCCGUAGUAAUUCUAGAGCUAAUACAUGCGUCAAGUCCCGACUUUUUGGAAGGGAUGUAUUUAUUAGAUAAAAAACCAAUGCAGGCAACUGCUCUCUUGGUGAUUCAUAGUAACUUUAACGGAUCGCACGGCUUCACGUCGGCGACAGUUCAUUCAAAUUUCUGCCCUAUCAGCUUUCGACGGUACUGUAGUGGACUACCGUGGCAUCAACGGGUGACGGAGAAUUAGGGUUCGAUUCCGGAGAGGGAGCCUGAGAAACGGCUACCACAUCCAAGGAAGGCAGCAGGCGCGCAAAUUACCCAAUCCUGACACAGGGAGGUAGAGACAAAAAAUAACAAUACCGGGCCUUUUUAGGUCUGGUAAUUGGAAUGAGUACAAUUUAAAUCCCUUAACGAGUAUCCAUUGGAGGGCAAGUCUGGUGCCAGCAGCC
rnacentral:rRNA from 1 species